rnacentral:rRNA from 1 species
CAGUCGCCACGGUAAUACAGAGGGUGCGAGCGUUAAUCGGAUUUACUGGGCGUAAAGCGUGCGUAGGCGGCUUCUUAAGUCGGAUGUGAAAUCCCUGAGCUUAACUUAGGAAUUGCAUUCGAUACUGGGAAGCUAGAGUAUGGGAGAGGAUGGUAGAAUUCCAGGUGUAGCGGUGAAAUGCGUAGAGAUCUGGAGGAAUACCGAUGGCGAAGGCAGCCAUCUGGCCUAAUACUGACGCUGAGGUACGAAAGCAUGGGGAGCAAACAGGAUUAGAGACCCCGGUAGUCCCUGUCUCUUAUAU